rnacentral:rRNA from 1 species
GACGAACGCUGGCGGCGUGCUUAACACAUGCAAGUCGAACGGUGAUGCUCCAGCUUGCUGGAGUGGAUCAGUGGCGAACGGGUGAGUAACACGUGAGCAACCUGCCCCAGACUCUGGAAUAAGCGCUGGAAACGGCGUCUAAUACUGGAUACGAAACUGGCCCGCGUGGGCAUGGUUUGGAAAGUUUUUCGGUUUGGGAUGGGCUCGCGGCCUAUCAGCUUGUUGGUGAGGUAAUGGCUCACCAAGGCGACGACGGGUAGCCGGCCUGAGAGGGCGACCGGCCACACUGGGACUGAGACACGGCCCAGACUCCUACGGGAGGCAGCAGUGGGGAAUAUUGCACAAUGGGCGAAAGCCUGAUGCAGCGACGCCGCGUGAGGGAUGACGGCCUUCGGGUUGUAAACCUCUUUCAGCAGGGAAGAAGCGAAAGUGACGGUACCUGCAGAAGAAGCACCGGCUAACUACGUG